UACGAAGGGGGCUAGCGUUGCUCGGAAUCACUGGGCGUAAAGGGUGCGUAGGCGGGUCUUUAAGUCAGGGGUGAAAUCCUGGAGCUCAACUCCAGAACUGCCUUUGAUACUGAAGAUCUUGAGUUCGGGAGAGGUGAGUGGAACUGCGAGUGUAGAGGUGAAAUUCGUAGAUAUUCGCAAGAACACCAGUGGCGAAGGCGGCUUGCUGGGCUCGGUCUGACGCUGAGGCGCGAAAGCGUGGGGAGCGAACAGG
rnacentral:rRNA from 1 species